rnacentral:rRNA from 1 species
UCUAUGGCCCACGCCAGCCUGAAGACACAUGGUCUACUCUGAACUCAGAAGAUAAGUAGGGUCAGACCUGGUCAGUACACGAAUGGGAGACAAUACUGUGACAGCCAGGUCUAUAGCA